rnacentral:rRNA from 1 species
GACCAGACUCCUACGGGAGGCAGCAGUGGGGAAUAUUGCACAAUGGGGGGAACCCUGAUGCAGCGACGCCGCGUGGGUGAAGGAGCACCUCGGUGCGUAAAGCCCUAUCGGCAGGGAAGAAACAGACGGUACCUGACUAAGAAGCCCCGGCUAACUACGUGCCAGCAGCCGCGGUAAUACGUAGGGGGCAAGCGUUAUCCGGAUUCACUGGGUGUAAAGGGAGCGUAGACGGCAAUACAAGUCGGAAGUGAAAUACCCGGGCUCAACCUGGGAAUUGCUUUGGAAACUGUAUGGCUGGAGUGCUGGAGAGGUAAGCGGAAUUCCUGGUGUAGCGGUGAAAUGCGUAGAUAUCAGGAGGAACACCGGUGGCGAAGGCGGCCUGCUGGACUGCGACUGACGUUGAGGCCCGAAAGCGUGGGGAGCAAACAGGAUUAGAUACCCGAGUAU